GGCCUACGGGGGGCAGCAGUGAGGAAUAUUGGUCAAUGGUCGGGAGACUGAACCAGCCAAGCCGCGUGAGGGAUGAAGGUACAGAGUAUCGUAAACCUCUUUUGUCAGGGAACAAAGGCGGGGACGUGUCCCCGGAUGAGUGUACCUGAAGAAAAAGCAUCGGCUAACUACGUGCCAGCAGCCGCGGUAAUACGGAGGGGGCGAGCGUUAUCCGGAUUCACUGGGCGUAAAGGGAGCGCAGGCGGCACGGCAAGCCCGGUGUGAAAGCCCGGGGCCCAACCCCGGGACUGCACUGGAAACUGCCG
rnacentral:rRNA from 1 species